CAGUAGCCACGGUAAUACAGAGGGUGCGAGCGUUCAUCGGAUUUACUGGGCGUAAAGCGUGCGUAGGCGGCUUUUUAAGUCGGAUGUGAAAUCCCUGAGCUUAACUUAGGAAUUGCAUUCGAUACUGGGAAGCUAGAGUAUGGGAGAGGAUGGUAGAAUUCCAGGUGUAGCGGUGAAAUGCGUAGAGAUCUGGAGGAAUACCGAUGGCGAAGGCAGCCAUCUGGCCUAAUACUGACGCUGAGGUACGAAAGCAUGGGAGCAAACAGGAUUAGAUACCCCAGUAGUCCCUGUCUCUUAUACA
rnacentral:rRNA from 1 species